rnacentral:rRNA from 1 species
AUUGAACGCUUGCGGCAGGCCUAACACAUUCAAGUCGAGCGGAUUAAGGGAGCUUGCUCCUGGAUUCAGCGGCGGACGGGUGAGUAAUGCCUAGGAAUCUUCCUGGUAGUGGGGGAUAACGUCCGGAAACGGGCGCUAAUACCGCAUACGUCCUGAGGGAGAAAGUGGGGGAUCUUCGGACCUCACGCUAUCAGAUGAGCCUAGGUCGGAUUAGCUAGUUGGUGGGGUAAAGGCCUACCAAGGCGACGAUCCGUAACUGGUCUGAGAGGAUGAUCAGUCACACUGGAACUGAGACACGGUCCAGACUCCUACGGGAGGCAGCAGUGGGGAAUAUUGGACAAUGGGCGAAAGCCUGAUCCAGACAUGCCGCGUGUGUGAAGAAGGUCUUCGGAUUGUAAAGCACUUUAAGUUGGGAGGAAGGGCAGUAAGUUAAUAACUUGCUGUUUUGACGUUACCAACAGAAUAAGCACCGGCUAACUUCGUG